rnacentral:rRNA from 1 species
GACGAACGCUGGCGGCGUGCUUAACACAUGCAAGUCGAACGGAAAGGCCCUGCUUUUGUGGGGUGCUCGAGUGGCGAACGGGUGAGUAACACGUGAGUAACCUGCCCUUGACUUUGGGAUAACUUCAGGAAACUGGGGCUAAUACCGGAUAGGAGCUCCUGCUGCAUGGUGGGGGUUGGAAAGUUUCGGCGGUUGGGGAUGGACUCGCGGCUUAUCAGCUUGUUGGGGGGGUAGUGGCUUACCAAGGCUUUGACGGGUAGCCGGCCUGAGAGGGUGACCGGCCACAUUGGGACUGAGAUACGGCCCAGACUCCUACGGGAGGCAGCAGUGGGGAAUAUUGCACAAUGGGCGGAAGCCUGAUGCAGCAACGCCGCGUGCGGGAUGACGUCCUUCGGGUUGUAAACCGCUUUCGCCUGUGACGAAGCGUGAUUGACGGUAAUGGGUAAAGAAGCACCGGCUAACUACGUG